rnacentral:lncRNA from 1 species
CUUGGUGAUUGGGUUUGGAUGCUUAGGCAAAAAUGGCAUGUUCAAAUGCAAAAGAAGGUAAAAGGUUUCAUCCUAGAGGGGAUGGACCAUUCCACGUCAUUGAAAGGAUUGAAAACAAUAGCUACAACUUGGAUCUUCAAGGCAAGUUUGUGAUAAUUUACAUUUGCUUCGAUGUUUCUUAUCUUGCUCCGUUUGAUGCAGAUACAAAUUCGAGGUCGUAUCCUUUUGAAAAAGAAUGUAAUGAUACGAUCCAAGGAAGGCCACAAUCAUACAAAGUUCAGGUUCAACUUGAAGAGGAAUCAAUGACGAGAUCGCAAGUAAAUAGGAUCAAUGAAGCCAUGCAUUUACUUGCUCAAAUUAUGGAGACGAAAGAGUUUGAAGUUAAUAAGCCAAACAUUAGGUUUCAUGUUGGGCUUGAAAGCGGAAAACAAGUUGGAUGCAUUGGAAUCAAGAAAACAAAAUUAGAAGCCAGUUGGAUAACUAUACUAUCUCGUAAUACAGAAGGAGAUGCUGUCGCAUGUACUAUUCCCAAAACAAAAGGGUGAAAUAUUGGUUGUUCUAUGCGGUUGACGUAGUUAUAACAAUGCAGUCGUGCAGUUCAUCUUCUAGAUGCGUUUUUUUAUAUUUUUCCUUUAAGUCUAUUUUUUGAUAUGAUUCAUCCUUUUCAUUGUAAAAAUACACAAUUAUUGAGAUAUUAUUG